UACGAAGGGUGCAAGCGUUAAUCGGAAUUACUGGGCGUAAAGGGUGCGUAGGCGGUGUCGUAAGUCGGGUGUGAAAGCCCCGGGCUCAACCUGGGAAUGGCCAUGGAAACUGGCGAACUGGAGUGUGGCAGAGGGGGGUGGAAUUCCGCGUGUAGCAGUGAAAUGCGUAGAGAUGCGGAGGAACACCGAUGGCGAAGGCAGCCCCCUGGGCUAGCACUGACGCUCAGGCACGAAAGCGUGGGGAGCAAACAGG
rnacentral:rRNA from 1 species